rnacentral:rRNA from 1 species
CCUACGGGAGGCAGCAGUGGGGAAUAUUGCGCAAUGGGCGAAAGCCUGACGCAGCGACGCCGCGUGAGGGAUGAAGGUCUUCGGAUCGUAAACCUCUGUCAGCAGGGAAGAACGGUCACUGUGCUAAUCAGCAGUGAAUUGACGGUACCUGAAGAAGAAGCCCCGGCUAACUACGUGCCAGCAGCCGCGGUAAUACGUAGGGGGCAAGCGUUAUCCGGAUUUACUGGGUGUAAAGGGGGCGCAGACGGCGAUGCAAGCCAGGAGUGAAAGCCCGGGGCCCAACCCCGGGACUGCUCUUGGGACGGCGUGGCUGGAGUGCAGGAGGGGCAGGCGGAAUUCCUGGUGUAGCGGUGAAAUGCGUAGAUAUCAGGAGGAACACCGGUGGCGAAGGCGGCCUGCUGGACUGCAACUGACGUUGAGGCCCGAAAGCGUGGGGAGCAAACAGGAUUAGAUACCCGGGUAGUC